rnacentral:rRNA from 1 species
UACAGAGACCUCAAGCGUUAUCCGGAAUCAUUGGGCGUAAAGCGUACCGAUAGGUGGUUUAUAUAGUUUUGGGUAAAAGCCAGAAGCUCAACUUCUGCGUUUGCUCAAAAUACUUAUAGACUAGAGGGGCAAAGAGGUGCUUGGAACGAAUGGUGUAGUAGUGAAAUGCGUUGAUAUCAUUCGGAACACCGAAAGCGAAGGCAGAGCACUGGGUGCCACCUGACACUGCUAGGACGAGAGCGUGGGGAGCGAAUGGG